GACGAACGCUGGCGGCGUGCUUAACACAUGCAAGUCGAACGGAAAGGCCUGCUUUCCCUUGUGGAUUGCGGGUACUCGAGUGGCGAACGGGUGAGUAACACGUGAGUGAUCUGCCCCCAACUUGGGUAUAAGCCUGGGAAACUGGGUCUAAUUCCCGAUAGGACUGCAGGGUGGUGCCUGUGGUGGAAAACGAUUUUCUAGUGGUUGGGGAUGAGCUCGCGGCCUAUCAGCUUGUUGGUGGGGUAAUGGCCUACCAAGGCGGCGACGGGUAGCCGGCCUGAGGGGGUGGACGGCCACAGUGGGACUGAGAUACGGCCCAGACUCCUACGGGAGGAAGGAGUGGGGAAUAUUGCACAAUGGGCGGAAGCCUGAUGCAGCGACGCCGCGUGGGGGAUGACGGCCUUCGGGUUGUAAACUCCUUUCGACCGCGAGGAAGCCACCUGGUUGGAAGGGUGGUGAGGGUAGUGGUAGAAGAAGCACCGGCUAACUACGUG
rnacentral:rRNA from 1 species